CAACGAAAAUUACUUCACACGCUGCCUGCAAUUUCCAUACACAGGACUUCAGUGCUUUGGUGGAUGGAAGGAAGGAAGCCUGGAGCAUGCAGAGGGGAAGAUGAGGCACUCGGAUACCAUGGUGAUGAGCAGCUGAGACCUUGUCUGCUGUGCCAGAGCCCGGCCUGGCUGAGACAGGAGCCCACAGAGGGGGAAGGACAGAGAUAAAGGGAAGUACUCUGGACCACGGGCCACCUCCUGAGGAUGGUGUCAAGGUGCUGGCUCCACUCCAUACACUGGAGCAACUCUACUUUCCCACACUCCCAAGUUUUGGGCUCCUGUGCUUUCCCAGAGAAAUACAGCUGUUA